GACGAACCGUGCGAACGUUGUUCGGAAUCACUGGGCUUAAAGGGCGCGUAGGCGGCUGCGCAAGUCCGGGGUGAAAGCCCCCAGCUUAACUGGGGAAGUGCCUCGGAUACUGCGGAGCUUGAGGGAGGUAGGGGCGGAUGGAACUUCCGGUGGAGCGGUGAAAUUCGUAGAUAUUCGCAAGAACACCAGUGGCGAAGGCGGCUCACUGGCCCGAUACUGACGCUGAGGUGCGAAAGCGUGGGGAGCAAACAGG
rnacentral:rRNA from 1 species